rnacentral:rRNA from 1 species
UAGGGAAUCUUCGGCAAUGGGGGGAACCCUGACCGAGCAACGCCGCGUGAGUGAAGAAGGUUUUCGGAUCGUAAAGCUCUGUUGUUAAGGAAGAACGAGUGUGAGAAUGGAAAGUUCAUACUGUGACGGUACUUAACCAGAAAGGGACGGCUAACUACGUGCCAGCAGCCGCGGUAAUACGUAGGUCCCGAGCGUUGUCCGGAUUUAUUGGGCGUAAAGCGAGCGCAGGCGGUUAGAUAAGUCUGAAGUUAAAGGCAGUGGCUCAACCAUUGUAGGCUUUGGAAACUGUUUAACUUGAGUGCAGAAGGGGAGAGUGGAAUUCCAUGUGUAGCGGUGAAAUGCGUAGAUAUAUGGAGGAACACCAGUGGCGAAAGCGGCUCUCUGGUCUGUAACUGACGCUGAGGCUCGAAAGCGUGGGGAGCGAACAGG